ACGAACGCUGGCGGCGUGGAUAAGACAUGCAAGUCGAACGAGAGAAUUGCUAGCUUGCUAAUAAUUCUCUAGUGGCGCACGGGUGAGUAACACGUGAGUAACCUGCCCCCGAGAGCGGGAUAGCCCUGGGAAACUGGGAUUAAUACCGCAUAGUAUCGAAAGAUUAAAGCAGCAAUGCGCUUGGGGAUGGGCUCGCGGCCUAUUAGUUAGUUGGUGAGGUAACGGCUCACCAAGGCGAUGACGGGUAGCCGGUCUGAGAGGAUGUCCGGCCACACUGGAACUGAGACACGGUCCAGACACCUACGGGUGGCAGCAGUCGAGAAUCAUUCACAAUGGGGGAAACCCUGAUGGUGCGACGCCGCGUGGGGGAAUGAAGGUCUUCGGAUUGUAAACCCCUGUCAUGUGGGAGCAAAUUAAAAAGAUAGUACCACAAGAGGAAGAGACGGCUAACUCUGUGCCAGCAGCCGCGGUAAUACAGAGGUCUCAAGCGUUGUUCGGAAUCACUGGGCGUAAAGCGUGCGUAGGCUGUUUCGUAAGUCGUGUGUGAAAGGCGCGGGCUCAACCCGCGGACGGCACAUGAUACUGCGAGACUAGAGUAAUGGAGGGGGAACCGGAAUUCUCGGUGUAGCAGUGAAAUGCGUAGAUAUCGAGAGGAACACUCGUGGCGAAGGCGGGUUCCUGGACAUUAACUGACGCUGAGGCACGAAGGCCAGGGGAGCGAAAGGGAUUAGAUACCCCUGUAGUCCUGGCAGUAAACGGUGCACGCUUGGUGUGCGGGGAAUCGACCCCCUGCGUGCCGGAGCUAACGCGUUAAGCGUGCCGCCUGGGGAGUACGGUCGCAAGAUUAAAACUCAAAGAAAUUGACGGGGACCCGCACAAGCGGUGGAGUAUGUGGCUUAAUUCGAUGCAACGCGAAGAACCUUACCUGGGCUUGACAUGUAAUGAACAACAUGUGAAAGCAUGCGACUCUUCGGAGGCGUUACACAGGUGCUGCAUGGCCGUCGUCAGCUCGUGUCGUGAGAUGUUUGGUUAAGUCCAGCAACGAGCGCAACCCCUGUUGCCAGUUACCAGCACGUGAAGGUGGGGACUCUGGCGAGACUGCCCAGAUCAACUGGGAGGAAGGUGGGGACGACGUCAGGUCAGUAUGGCCCUUAUGCCCAGGGCUGCACACGUACUACAAUGCCCAGUACAGAGGGGGCCGAAGCCGCAAGGCGGAGGAAAUCCUAAAAACUGGGCCCAGUUCGGACUGUAGGCUGCAACCCGCCUACACGAAGCCGGAAUCGCUAGUAAUGGCGCAUCAGCUACGGCGCCGUGAAUACGUUCCCGGGUCUUGUACACACCGCCCGUCACAUCAUGGAAGCCGGUCGCACCCGAAGUAUCUGAAGCCAACCGCAAGGAGGCAGGGUCCUAAGGUGAGACUGGUAACUGGGAUG
rnacentral:rRNA from 1 species